rnacentral:rRNA from 1 species
GACAGAGGGUGCAAACGUUGCUCGGAAUCACUGGGCGUAAAGGGCGUGUAGGCGGGAAGGAAAGUCAGAUGUGAAAUCCCUGGGCUCAACCCAGGAACUGCAUUUGAAACUCCCUUUCUUGAGUGUCGGAGAGGAAAGCGGAAUUCCUGGUGUAGAGGUGAAAUUCGUAGAUAUCGGGAGGAACACCAGUGGCGAAGGCGGCGAUCUGGGUGGAUACUGACGCUGAGGUGCGAAAGCGUGGGGAGCAAACAGG